rnacentral:lncRNA from 1 species
UUUAAAGUUGAAACGAUAAUAUUAAAACUCAAACGACAUUUAUCAAAUCCCUGAAAAUAAAACAUUAUCACAUCCUCAACUUGCAAAGAUGGAUUCAAUAAAACUUAACACGAACACGGUCCCAUGAACACUAAUUAAAGGUGAAAUAAUUUAUGGUCCCGAAUUCGUUUAAUACAGAGGUGUUGUCUUAAGUGUUAUGACACUUGAACAAACAUGCAGCGGAAAUAUAAAGACAAAAGAACAAUACUCAGAAUUAAACACGUUCACAAGUAAAGACUUGUGAACUUGUCCUUUACAGGACAGAAAAAUAUAUAUUAAAAUCAGUAUUCCAAGAAUACAAACAGAAGAGGUGCGAAAACUUCUUCCUUACGAAUGAAUCUUUUUCAAGAUCAUUCUUACAAUCAAAUCUAGAUACUAAAAGAAAAAUAUUAAAAAUUCUAGAUUUCAAAGAUGUACUCGUGAGGAGUACGUAAAGAACUUAUGAAUGAAUCACUUUCUUGAUCAUUCUUACAACCAAGUCUAGAAACAUAUAUACUAAACAAUCUAGACUACAAAGAAUGUACUUAUGAGAAGUACGUAAAGAAUGUACUCAUAAGGAGUACGUAAAGAAUGUACUCACGAAGAGUACGUAAAGAAUGUACUCGUGAAGAGUACAAACAACCGAUUCUAAAACCUAACUAAAACACUCGUGUAUUCUCUUCAGCCCUCGGUUUUUAUUUCAUAGAAUCGAUUAUCUUCCUUGAGUAUUGAAGUCGGUAUUUAUAGGCAUUCCAAGCAUCCACUACUCAGCCCAUGAUCUGCAAGAAAACCAACCACAAGAGCACUCAAGAACAUGGGUUAGUGGGUUAGUGGGUUAGUUUAAGGAGUUAGAAUAAUAUUCACAAUUAAACCCACUUAAGCACUACUUAGCCCACUAAGCCAUAUACUUAAUCCACUAAGCCCUAUACUUAACCCACUAAGCACUUACUUGUUCCAUAACUAAAAUUUAGUUAGAAAAAUAAGAAAGUUAAAAACACAUAAAGAAAAACAACGUGUUUCAAACUCCCCCUUUUUAACUUUCUGAUCAAAACUAAAUUUUCGCUUAACUCCCCCUGAGUCAUUGCUUGAACUCCCCCUGAAUAUGACAACCAAUAUAGCAAAUAACAAAAAUAGCGCAAUCCAAAGUCUCCUCAGUAUCAGCUGUUGUUCCUCCAUCACUAGUACUGGAUCCACUACUUUCCUCUGCUCCUUCAGCUUCAUUAACUCCUUGCUCUCUGCCUCUGGUUGCUUCAACUUCAUGACUACCUUUUUCUCCCCCUUUUUGAUCAGAAAGAGCUUUUUGGAUCAUUUCCACCAUGGACUGGUAAUCUGAGCUAGAGAGUGAGUAAGCUGUUGUAACACAAGAUCUCGAGGAACAGAAACAAGAAUGUCAGGGAUGUUGUCAACAUGAGGAGCAACACCUUCAGUACCAAGAUUAUUUUGACCUGAUUCAGUUGAGAGAAAAAAAUAUCUCCAUUCCAGGGAAGAUCUUGGACAUGAGGAGUUUUGAGAAAAUUUUGAGAAACAGUUUUCAUGCCAAGUGGAGUGUGAAGAUAUUAUGAUUCAUCUUGGCCCAAAUUUUGAGAAAACAGAAUGGAGUAGAUGAGAAAAGGAUACGAAAGAUGAGUGGAGGAUGAAAUUUUCUGGGCAAGAUGACCUAAAUUAUUUAAAGAAAAGUUUGCCAACAUCAACUUGUAAUCCCAUCCCCAAUUUGUACACGAGUAUUGCAUGAAGUUUAGUAACCACAGAGACAUUUUUGGAUGGAAUCCAAUUCAUCACUGUGAGUCUGAACAAGACAAAAUAAAAUGCAGUGAGUUGAGAAACUUUGAAUUUUCUGGGGUGAGCAGGCCAACAUUUUAAACGAUUUCCAGAAAGAGUCUUACAAACCUCAGUAAAAUCACCAUAAUUAUCCUCAUCAAUCACAGUAGGAGUUUGUAAAUGAGAGUUGAUAAUUUUUUUGGGAGAAAAUGGAGAAAAUAGAAUUUCGCACAAAAACUUUGCCAAAGUUUGGAGAAUUUUUUUUUUUUUUUUUUUUUUUUUUUUUAAAAGGAGGUUUGUAAACUGGCAUACCACAACAGAGGGAUCAUAAGGACAUGAAAUCUCAACUAGACUAAGGAUUUUUCUUUGAUCAAGAAAAUCAGUAAUCCUAUGUCUAUCAAACUCAUCCUUGGAAAUUUUCUUCUCCUCAAUGAAUUGGCAAUUCAUGAUUUGAGGACUCAAAAUUGAAUCAGAUUCAAAAUAAAAGGUUGUACUGAAAGCAUUGUUUACCUCAAAAGAGUUGACAGAUCCUUCCCAUCCAAGUUCAGCUCUUCUUCCUCAGAAGAUUCCUCUUCUUCUGAGUCUUCAAGUACAUCUGGGAUGCAUGCUGGCUCAGGUGAUGCAACACGUGGGGCAACAUCUUCCUGCAUCUGAGAGAAUGAUGUAUCGACUUGAACAGCUGCUUCUGCAAGAGUUUCCAGAGGGUCUGCAUGUGGUGCUGAGAGUGUUUCUUCAGUGGUAGUGAGAUCCUGAGCAUCAACAGAGGGAAUGUCAACAUGCUCGGCAGAUGACAUCCCUGAAAAAUCAGGCAUUUCUUCUUCCUGGUAGGGAGCAGCAUCCUCAGCAGCACUCUGUGAAACAUUGGCUGAGUCAGUGGGUGCAGCAGCAUCUUCAGGAACAUGUGCAACAACAUCUUCGGAAACAGGAUGUUGAGAGAGAGUUGCUGCCAUGUUGGACUGAAAUGUCUCCCCCUGAGUUGAUGCUGGUGGAGGUUCUUCUGUGGUGGUGAAAUCUUGAGCAUCCACAGAUGGAAUGUCUACAUGCUCUGCUGAUGACAUUCCAGAAAAAUCAGGCAUUUCUUCAUCCUGAUAAGGGGCAGCAUCCUCAGCAGUAUUCUGAGGAACAUUUGCUGAAACAGUAGGUCCAGCAGCAUCUUCUGGAGCAUGUGCAGCAACACCUUCAGAAACAGGUGCAGCAACACCUUCAGGAACAAAAUGUUGAGAGGCUGCUGUUGCCAUGCUGGGCUGUGACGUCUCCCCCUGCUUCAUCAUCAGUUUCUUCAUCUACCAGAUGAAGACCUCUUCGUGGGUUUGACUGGACUGGAGUGCGACCGACUCUGCCGCUUCUUCUUCCACCUCUGCCGACUCUGCUGGGAGAAUGUCUUCCUAUCCCCUCCAGCGUUGUGAUCCAGUAGCAUUCAGAUCUGGGAAGGGAUUCAUGCACUUAGACUGGCAAGUAGGAAGUCUUCCUAGAGUGGAAGAGGGACCCAGGUUCUGAAAAAAUGUCUCGGUCAAUCGGAUUCAGCUCGUCGCCAGGCCCAAUGAAGCUGGUCGGCAUGGCUUCAAGGUUGACAGGAUGAACGAUGAUGGCUAGAUUAGGGUCUGCUGGUUCAGGUGCUGCAGCAUCCUUGUUCACAUCAUCAACGGCUGGAAGAGGAUUUCUAGGAGGAGAUGCCAUGAUACAGUAGAUAAAAAAAAAUUGCUUCUUGUGCUUUUGAUUUUUGAGUGUGAAUUUUCGAAAAAGAAGCACGAAAUUUAUAAGCCCUAAUUUUUGCAGAGAAAAAAAAAUCGAAGUGGAGAAAGUGAAGAAGCGGUGUGCGUUUUUCUUGGAGAGAGUGUGAUUAAGGAGAAUAAAGGUCUAUGUGGCAGUUUAAAACAAAACGUGACACAUGGCAUAAUAAGGAGUGGACUUAGUGGAAGAUAAAAGACUAACCCAUUUACCCCAUGACCCAUAUAAAUAGUGAUAAUUCAAAAAUAAAUAAAAUAAAAAUAGUAGCACUCACGAAAUUUUCACAAAAAUAAGAAACACAUUUAUUAAUGAUUAAUAGUGUGAGAAAAAAAAUAAAUUGGCUGACAGGCAUAGAUUUUAUUAUAUAAAUAUAUAUCUAUAUAUCAUUAAUAAUUUUUUUUUUUUUUUUUUUUUUUUUUUUUUUUUUUUUUUUUUUUUAAACUCUUAUUUUCAAGUCAAACAAUUCACAUGGAACAUGAUCAAGUGUUCAGUUUGAAGGUUCCUCAGUUACUAAGAUAUGACUAUCAAAAUAGAGGAGUUUGACUUAUAUGAGUGUAAUUAUUCCCUAAAUGUUUACAUGAAGCAUGAUCACGUUUCAAGGUGAAAGACUUCCAGUUACUUAUUUAGAAAAUAAUCCAUCACAGUGAAGUCUUAUUUAAAGAAGCUAAGCUUCAAUAAAUUAUGUUGCAGCUUAAGAUGUUUGAUAAGAUGCUGCAACAUAUUUCAGGACAUGUUUAUUGAGUACACAUCCCGAGAGAUUUUCUGAGUUUAGAAAACCUCUCAUAAUCUAAUGCCUUUGUAAAGAUGUCAGCCAGCUGAUCUUCUGUAGGAAUGUACUUUAAGCACACUAUAUUUUUCUCAACUAUAUCACGAAUAAAAUGAUGUUUAAUAUCUAUGUGUUUAGUUCGUGAGUGUUGAACAGGAUUUUUUGAAAUGUCAAUAGCACUUGAAUUAUCACAAUAUAUGGUCAGGGUAUCACUGGUCAACCCGUAAUCUCCCAACAUUUGUUUCAUCCAAAUUAGUUGACCACAACACCCUCCAGCAGCUACAUAUUCUGAUUCAGCUGUUGAUAGAGAUACACAAUUUUGCUUUCUACUAAACCAAGAAACCAGAUUAUUCCCCAAAAAGAAACAUGCACCUGAAGUGCUUUUUCUGUCACUAAUAUCCCCAGCCCAAUCAGAAUCACUAAAACCUAUCAAGUUUGUGUUUGUGUCUUUGAAAAACUGAAUCCCUAAAUCUACUGUACCUGCAACAUACCUAAUAAUCCGCUUCACAGCUUUAAGAUGAGUGACUUUGGGAUUAGCUUGAUACCUGGCACACACACAAACACUAAACAUAAUGUCAGGCAUGCUUGCUGUUAGAUACAGAAGGCUUCCAAUCAUGCUUCUGUAUAGAGUGCUGUCAACAUCUUCUGCAACAUCAUCCUUGGACAGCUUUUGACUGGAACCCAUUGGAGUUUUCAUGUCCUUGGCUGACUCCAACUCAAAUCUUUUGACCAGAUUGAGAGCAUACUUCUUUUGAUUUACAAACAUUCCUUCACCUGUUUGUUUGAUUUGGAGUCCUAAGAAGUAAUUCAACUCCCCUACCAUGCUCAUUUCAAAAGUGUGAGACAUAGAAUCUACAAAAGACUGAAAAAGGUUAGCACAAGUAGAACCAAAAACAAUAUCAUCAACAUAUGUCUGUACAAUAAUGAUAUGGUUAUUUGUUCUUCUAACAAAUAGAGUUCUGUCUGCUUCUCCUCUAGUGAAUUGUAUUUCAAGUAAGAAGUCAGUGAGUCUUUGAUACCAAGCUCUAGGAGCUUGUUUAAGACCAUACAGAGCCUUCUUAAGCUUGAACACAUGAUCAGGUUUGGCAGAAUCUUCAAAACCCUUGGGUUGCUCUACAUAUGCUUCUUCAUUUAAAACACCAUUUAGAAAUGCACUUUUGAUGUCCAUCUGAUACAGUUUGAUUUUAAGAAAACAGGCUAUAGCAAGAACUAACCUAAUAGAUUCAAUUCUAGCUACUGGAGCAAAGGUUUCAUCAAAAUCUAUACCUUCAAUCUGAGUAUAACCUUGUGCUACUAACCUAGCCUUAUUUCUAACCACUGUACCUUUUUCAUCAGUUUUGUUUUUGAAAAUCCACUUAGUUCCUAUCACAUUUACGUGACUUGGUCUGGGAACUAAGUACCAAACAUCAUUCCUGAUGAACUGAUUCAGCUCUUCAUGCAUUGCAUUAAUCCAAAACUCAUCCUUCAGUGCUUCUGCAAUAUUCCUUGGUUCGACUGAAGAUACAAAGCAAGUAGUUCCAGUUAGUGUACAUUCAGAAGAUAAAUUUGCAAAUCUUACCAUAUCUCUGUAAUUCACUCUCUCUUUUCUUCUGGUCCUUAUUCCAUCAAAGAUAUCUCCCACAACUUGAGUAGAUGGGUGAUUUUUCUGGAUUCUACUUGAUGGUUCCUUUCUGCAGACAUCAUGAGUUGGCUGCAAUUCAGCUUCUGUACUCUCUGUAGGCUGUAUUGAGUCAGGUGUGGUAACACUUGGUUCAACACCCUCUUCUCUUGAGACUGGACUGUUUAUAUAUGGAGCAUCUGUGGCAGUAGUGUCUCCUCUGGUUGUUUCACCUUCAGCAAUCAGGUCAUCAACUUCAUCUUCAGCUGUUUUACUGCGGAGAUCAGCAAAAUCAUCAAAUACCACAUUUACAGAUUCAAUAAUGGUUCGAGUUCUUAAGUUAUAUACUCUAUAAGCAUGACUGUUAUUAGAGUAUCCCAUAGAUAAACUCAAAUCACUUUUUGAAUCAAAUUUAGCUAGAUGAUCUCUGUCAUUUAGGACAAAGCAAACACAUCCAAAUACAUGCAUGUAUUCUAGAUCAGAUUUUUCUCUUAAAAAAUACACCAAAGUACAUCUCGAAAAAUCAUCAACACACAUAAAUACAUAUUUUUUACCACCUAGGCUUUCUACCUCUAUAGGACCCAUAAGAUCCAUAUGUACAAGUUCAAAACAAAUGGUGGUACCAACGGGUUGUAACACUUUGUGUGGUACUCUAGUUUGCUUUCCCUUCUGGCACAUUCCGCAUAUAGGAAUGUCCUUGAUCUUGAGAUCUGGAAUUCCUCUUAUGGCAUUGUACUUGUUGAGCAGCUUCAGAUUUUUGAAGUUUGUGUGCCCUAGAUUCUGGUGCCACAGCUCUACUUCACUUACUCUUGAGCUCUUGCAUGAGAUGAUAUCACCUGUUUGAUAACAAUUAUCCAUUGACCGGGAACCUGUCAGUACACAAUGAUUUUGAUUAUCAAACACAGAACAACAGUAUUUAUCAAAUUGAACACGUAGAUCAUCAUCACACAAUUGACAAAUACUGAUGAGAUUUGACCCCAAUCCUUCAACAUGUAAGACAUUUGAAAGUUUUGGAAGUCCCUCAAUACUGAGUGUUCCACGUCCAACCACUUUGCCUUUAGCUCCUCCUCCAUAGGUUACACGUCCUCCAUUGAGUGUAUAGUAGUUUGAUAGAAAUUCUUUAGUUCCAGUCAUGUGCCUAGAGCAUCCACUAUCAAAGUACCAUGAACCUGAAAUGUUAGCAUUUAAAGAAGUGUAUACUGCUUUGCACAUAAGUUUACCUUUGGGAGUCCAUAUUCUACACUCUUUUUUGGUAAAUUCUACCUUUUUCUUGGAGGUGUUCCCUGGAGUGUUGUGACUCAUCCUGUACAACAUUUUGUCACUACUUAGUUUCUCACAUAAUGGACGGGUAUGUCCUGGUGAGAAACAGUCAUGACAAAUGUAUCCCCUUAUUCUGGACUCUGAAGUGGUGACUGUGGAAUUUCUGCAUUCUUUCUAUGUGAACCCUUCUCUUUUACAAAGACAAUCUCCUUCUUCUUUACUGGCUUGUGUUUCUUCACUUGGUUUUUGAACCCUAGACCUUCAUUUUUGUUGUACUUCUCCAGUGACACAAUCUCUUUGAGUUUAGUUGUGUCGGUAUUCAUCCUCUUGAUUGCUAGAGUCGCUUCUUUGAGUUCAUUUUUCACCUUUGCCAGUUCAAGAUCCUUCUUGAUGAUACCAACCUCCAAAUGAGUUAUUGUUUCUUUGAGAGAAGGAUUUUCCUUGUUGGCUGCAUCUAGAGCAUGAGUCUUCUUCUCCAAGUCACUGAACAAUUUCUUGUACAUUUCUUCCUCAUCUCCUACUGCUUCUUUACUGUAUUCUGCAGCAUUCAAAGAAAUAGAGUUCAAACAUGUAUAAUGACUAUUAUCUAACUCAGAAAUUUCAGUUACUGAAAGUGUUUCAGAAAGUGUUGCAGCAUCUAGAGAAACUCCUUGUGAUUCUGUUUCAGAACAAUUUUCAGUGAUGUAUCUGACUGAAAGAGCUUGAUUGGUGGAUUGCUCUUCCUCUGUUUGUUCAGGUUGCUCUUCCUCUUCAUCACUGACUGCACAAAUCAGACUCAUUCCUCUUCUUCUCAAGGUAUUUGCACAUUCAUUAGCAUAAUGUCCAAAUCCUGAACAUGCCCUGCAUUUAAUAUGAUCCAAGUUAGGUGGUUCAGAAUUUGAACGAAUAAAUGAAGAGUUUUUUGAAGUGUUUUGAGAAGAUGUUUGAGGAAAUGUUCUCUGUGGAAUAGAUAUGUUCCGAGGUUGAGUUUGACGAUUUUGUGGAGAGCCAUCUGAAAAUAACUGUCGAGGCUUGAUUCCACUUCGUCUGUAUGCCCUAUUGAAUUUUUGAAUCUGAAAUGCCACAUUGUUGAGACAUUCAUCUACAUCAUCAUCAUAUUCUGUAGCAACUUCUUCCUUUUCUAGUUCUGCAUGGAGUGCAUUUGAUAGAUCGUCUGCUGUCCACCGUAAUUCUGGUGUUGGAAAUACAUCCACAUCCGCAUCUGUGAUAGUUGGUGACUUCCAUCCAGUAAGAAUUGAUCUCCAGGCUUUCUCAUCAGUGGCUUUGAUGUACGCCCUCAUCUUGACUUUCCAGUAGGUGUAGUUUGUGCCGUCGAGUACAGGAGGUCGCAUAGAAGCAGUCAUCUGAGUAUCCAUCACGAAUUCGUUUCUGAAAAAGAAAAAUAGGAACAAACACUUAGUAUACGUCAAGUGUUGGCUCUUGAUGCCAAUUGAAAUAAUUUAUGGUCCCGAAUUCGUUUAAUACAGAGGUGUUGUCUUAAGUGUUAUGACACUUGAACAAACAUGCAGCGGAAAUAUAAAGACAAAAGAACAAUACUCAGAAUUAAACACGUUCACAAGUAAAGACUUGUGAACUUGUCCUUUACAGGACAGAAAAAUAUAUAUUAAAAUCAGUAUUCCAAGAAUACAAACAGAAGAGGUGCGAAAACUUCUUCCUUACGAAUGAAUCUUUUUCAAGAUCAUUCUUACAAUCAAAUCUAGAUACUAAAAGAAAAAUAUUAAAAAUUCUAGAUUUCAAAGAUGUACUCGUGAGGAGUACGUAAAGAACUUAUGAAUGAAUCACUUUCUUGAUCAUUCUUACAACCAAGUCUAGAAACAUAUAUACUAAACAAUCUAGACUACAAAGAAUGUACUUAUGAGAAGUACGUAAAGAAUGUACUCAUAAGGAGUACGUAAAGAAUGUACUCACGAAGAGUACGUAAAGAAUGUACUCGUGAAGAGUACAAACAACCGAUUCUAAAACCUAACUAAAACACUCGUGUAUUCUCUUCAGCCCUCGGUUUUUAUUUCAUAGAAUCGAUUAUCUUCCUUGAGUAUUGAAGUCGGUAUUUAUAGGCAUUCCAAGCAUCCACUACUCAGCCCAUGAUCUGCAAGAAAACCAACCACAAGAGCACUCAAGAACAUGGGUUAGUGGGUUAGUGGGUUAGUUUAAGGAGUUAGAAUAAUAUUCACAAUUAAACCCACUUAAGCACUACUUAGCCCACUAAGCCAUAUACUUAAUCCACUAAGCCCUAUACUUAACCCACUAAGCACUUACUUGUUCCAUAACUAAAAUUUAGUUAGAAAAAUAAGAAAGUUAAAAACACAUAAAGAAAAACAACGUGUUUCAAAAGGGUUUAACACAAGAUAUUACAAUGGUACAAUAUAAAUUAAUACAUGUUACACUCUAUGAAGUUCAUCUACACACCC